CCGUUAACUCAUCGUUCUUCGUCGUUUCCUAUCCUCUUCUUCUCUUCUAACUGAAAGUCGAUGACUCUCUCAAGAGGAGCUGCUCGAACUUGGCCUUUGGCUCCUGCACCGAUUGGAAUAGCUUGACGAUCUCUUGUAGCUUCGGAUGAAGCUCUUCGAUCGGUUGAAGGUCGACGGAGAUGAUGAUGAAGCUGAUAAGGGAGGGACGAUAACGGUUGGUAUUUUCUGGAACGUGACGAUCGCUCGGAGGAAAGAGGGGAUUGGCCGGAGAAUUAGGUUUUUGGAUGGAGGAUUAACGGAGGAGAAGAAGGUUCGUUUGAGUGGGAUUAGACGGAGCGAUGAAAGGAAGCAAGAAGAAGACAUGGAUGCGGCCAUAGAAGUCGACUUGAAGCUUCGAGAUAGACGGAGAUGGAUGAAUGUAUAUACCAAAUCAAACCACAAUCCCCAAUUGAGUAAUAAAGCUAUGAAUCUGGCACACCAAGGUUUCAGCUACAUCGAAGCUAAGGAGCUCAAACGGGAGACAUUGGUUUUGAUUACUAUGCGGCGGAACCGGAGAUUCACUUUUUCUCGGCUAUUCCUGAGGAAGAUAGCAUAUCCAAAGAUGAUCUUGAGAAAAAGCUAGAUCCUUCUGUUUUCAAAAUUGGAAGCACACAAGCUGCUAAAAAGAGGUGGGUUGCAAUGGGAAAGCAAGUCUCUAGGAAGGUUCAACAUGUUGAAGAUAAAGUGAAGGAGUCUCUUCUACAAAUACAACAAGGACUGGAACUUGACAAAGAAAGUCUCAACUCUCUCAAAACCAAGAAACUCUUAGUAACACAGUAACUACCUGCACUUUUUCUUUUUUGUAAAUUGUUUUAUCUUUUGGUGAAACGGAUCUGGAGAAGAGUAACGAAAGAGGUGGAAGGGGAAUAAGACCGUAGAAGAUGAACGAGCUACCCUGUUCAACAAACAAAUAAAGCGGAAUAAGACAGCUGAUUUAGCCCAGUCUUUGGCCAUGUGAAGGAUGAAAACACCAACGAAAGCAACAAUUCUGGAACUUUGGAAACAAGUUAUAAAAGAAGUUUGUAGAUGAACUCAAUGCGCAGAACCUCUGUGUGGAACAUGAUUUCGUUUAUGUAAAGUCGUAUGAUUUCUAAAAGGUUCCAGUCUUAAGAGGAUUUUGAAGCAGACUGUGACCUCAGAUUGAUUUGUAUGAUGUCCUUGGCCACAUCAAGCUAAUCAAACUCUGGGCGAACCACCAGCCCUUGAUGGAAUAGAUGGAGGAAGCACUCGGCCAGUCUUGAUUUACCUCCAUGAUAAGAACAACGUUUUCCCGUUCUCGUGAUGGAGCUUAAGAUUACCAUUUACAGGGACAUGCUCUGAAUCUCUACCUGUGGGAUCAGCCUGCUGGCGAUUUCUAAGCUUCGCAACUCCUGUUGUACUGUUAGCAACAACAGUCAACACUAAACAUGUAGAUGGUUAUCUCUCAAAAGAUCUGAUUACUUACCAAGAACAUGCCGGAGAAUCUACAAAUUCACAUCCGCCAUGCUCGAUGCAGGUCUGAAAAGCCAAAAAUGGUAGAUAUGUUUUUGCAUUUCUUAAGGAAAAUGAUCCUAUAGUAUACACAAAUAAACAUAUCUGUUAUGUUGUUUAUAAGUCACCAUUUUCAGUCCAAUGUAAUCUCUUUUAUAUAAUCAAUAGGCAAAGCCAUCUUUGGAUAAGUUUAGGGCUCUAAUGAAGCAUCUCUAAUGAAUAAAUUUAAUGAAUCUAAGGUUAUAGGAAAACAUUGAAGAGAUGACAUGAUGAAUUUUUUUGCAUACGUUUGUGGGAUUAAAAUAACUUCUAAAAAACAUACCUAUUAUUUGUAUAACUUUGAUAAAAUAUAAACACAAUGUCAGCAUACAAAAAACAAUACUGUUAAAA